GCCCUCUAGCAGGCAAUAUGGCAAAACUCCCCUUUUGUCUCGUUCAAUCCAAUAUGGCGGCAAACGGUGUAUGAAAGGUGCGGAAUGUUUUGAUUCAAAAGGAACAAUAAAAAAAUCGUAUGAAAAAAAAAACUGUAACGAAACGCGAAAAAAAAUACGCAAUGGCCGGUGAAUUAACGUGGUUUACGUGCUGUUAACAUUAAAUAAUCGAUCUCGAAGUAAUUUGUGUUGAAACUGAUGUGUUUAUGAAUUGAAUAAUAUUUUUUUUUGAUGUUACGAUUUGUGUCUGCUAAUGUGCUCGCUUGUGUUAAUAUGUGAUAGAUUACACGCUAGAUAUGUCUACCGACCCUGAUAAAGGUACGGGAUGCCCGAUUGAGAGUGAUAAAAGUGUGGCGACGGAAUUGAAAGAGUGUGGUGAUACAAACUGUGGAAUCAGUAAUGACUGCAAAGAAAAAAAGAAGGAACACCGUUCCGUUCGCUUUCCCGGCGAUGAUCUUAUGGUCACAGAGUACUUCGAGCCUGCAAACCCUUGGAACGAUGUACCGACGACAACGAAAUCGCAGUUGGCUGCUGAAUACCUGGAGGCGUGCAGACGACAUGAUACUCCGUGCAUCGACACCGUGCUGCAGCAGAUACGGGAUCUACCAGACAACGCGAUCGGCGGUGGCUCGCGAGCCCCCCGGCUGACCUUGGCAGAAUGCUCGCUAGCUGGCCCAUCACCGGCCGAUGCUUUAGAAGCCGUCAUGCGCAAAGUCCAGUUCAGAAGACUCGAGAUAGACCAUGCUACCAUCGACGAUGAGGGCGCGGAGGCGAUAUUCGACAUGAUAGAGUACUAUGAGAGUGCGAACGUACUGUCCAUAGCGGGGCCGAGACAGUUCGGCAUCAGAGGAUGGCAGGCUGCUUCUAGGAUGAUUAAGAAGAGCGCAGACCUAACAGAACUAGAAGUGACAGACGCCCCUCUAGAGGCGUCUCACGCGCCCGUACUAGCGCGCUCGCUGCGCGCUCACACGUGCACUCUACGCGCGUUGUGUUUGCAGCGAGUCAGCUUGUGUGGCGAGCCUUUACUGUGUCUGGUAAUAGCAUUGAAAUCAAACAGCUCUAUACGAGAGCUACGGCUGGGCGAUAAUAGGCUAUCAGUGAGCGAUGCGGCGCAACUCGCCUCGCUUCUGAGGUACAACGCGAGAAUACAGCUUUUGGACCUGUCUAAUAAUCAGAUACAGGACGCGGGCGUGGCUCACUUGGCGGAGGCGUUGGCGGAGCAGGCGGCGCAGUCGCCGCCCUCCGCCGCCGCCUCGCCGCUAGACCCCAACCGAUGUACCGUGGGAGGCCACGAGGCGAGAGGUCUAGCCUUUUUAGUACUAUGGAAUAAUCAACUCACGAGAAACUGUGCGCCUUAUCUCAAUAAAGCUUUGCGAUCAUCAUGGUCGCUAUGCGUCCUAAACGUGGGCCGCAACGCCCUAUGCGGGGAGGCGGUGCGGGCCCUGUGCCGGGCCCCGGCGCUACUGUCCCUGGGGCUGCAGGCCGCCCGCCUGGGGCCCGACGCCGCGCCCGCGUUAGCUGACCUAGUGCGGGCCGAUACUAAGUUACAGAGGCUAGAUCUCCGAGAGAACAGAUUGGGCGGUGCCGGGCUAUCAGCUAUCCUUGCGGCCUUGAAGGAAAAUACUACACUCACACAAAUUGAUCUUGACGAACCGCCGACACCGGACUCAGCAAACCUACAAGCGGAAGACAAAGAGUCCGCCUACAUCAGGCGAGUGACGCGAGAGAUACGAGCGCUGUGCCGACGCAACGAUACCACGCGACAUGACGACGACGUACAUCCCGUGCACAGGAAGAUCAGCCUCACGUGUCAUACUGCAUGUCUGCUUAGACAAGGCAUGGGCACAGGUGAAGAAGAACGUCGGGGACGCUUACGUUCCCCGGCGCCAUCCCCCGCCCCGUCACCCGCCCCGUCGCCAGCCCCAUCCCCCGCGGGCAGUCCCGUGCCUGCGCCGCAACAUACCUCGAGGUUCAUGGUGACCCGAGUGACACCCGAACGCGAUUCUUCAACAGACAGCAGCGGUUCCACUUCAUCAUCAUCGUCUACCCCCACGCGGCUGCCAUACUGUCCGCCUUCUAGGUUCAAAGUUGUACAAGUAAUGGAACCACCACAAAUUCAAGUUCAUCCGGCUUCAAAUCAGCCAAGAAAAUCACCUUCCCGCUUCUCAGUCACCAGAAACUAUGACUCAGUUUACAACCCCACUCCCACCCCCCCUAAUAGUCCCGCUCAACCCAACAUAUACGCUCAACUACAAAAUGAAGUUGUCACUCAACUCAAACAUGAAGCUCUGACUCAACCUAAGACAGAAUUAGUCGCUCAGACAAAGAAUGAUAGCACUCAAACAAAAAAUGAAGUGGUUACUCAGAUCAGACAUGAUGCUAAUAUCAAAUGUGAGCCGCUUAGUAAUGAGGUUUUAGUAAAAUCUGAGCUUAGUGAAUCUUUAGAUGCUCAGACGAAAAAUGAAGUACACACUCAAGUUAAAAGUGAGAUAACUACGGUUAAAAGUGAACCGGUCGUUGAUAUAGUACAGAAACCAGUUAAAAAAGUCAUAACUGCGCAAGUUAGGAGUCAAGCUAUGAAGCAAUCUAAGUUAGACCAGUUAAAACAAAUCCAAAGUGAUCCGACGGUUCUAGUUAAAAGUGAAGUUACUCUACAAUCAGAUAGUAAGCCAACAGAAACAGUUAAAAAUGAACCCAGUGCUCAACUUUUAACAGAAGAAAUCACAGUUAAGAAUAAUGUUACUACUCAGAUCAAACAUGAGCCUAAUAAAAGUGAAGUGAAUGCUCAAACGCAAGAUUUGUCUACAAUUCAGGCUAAAAAUGAGUCUGUAAGUACAGUGAAAAAUGUUGUAACUACACAAGUACAUAAUGAACCGAUUUCAAUUAAAGUUGAGUCUCAAAUUCAAGUCAAAAGUGAUCAAAGUAAUCAAGCUACUCAGAAAGUUGAGUCUACAAGUCAAAUAAGUAAUAUUACUGAGAACAAAUCUACGCAAAGUGAAGAUAAUAUAGUAGUAGAAGCUCAACUUAAAGGUUUUCCAAUUGAGUUGUUGAGUCAUAUUGGACCUACACCUCAAAGAAAUGAUACAGUGACUCAAUUCAACACAGAAGCUGAUGCUCGGUCAAGAAAACAAGUUGAGUCUGCUCAAACUCAUACAGAUGUAGCGAAAACUUCGAAUAUUGAAUCAAGAAAUGAAACCGUUACUAAAGUAAAUACAGAAUUAGUGACUCAAAAUAGAAAUAUACUAGUUGAGCCUGCUAGUCUAGUAAAUAUUGAUGAAAAACCAAUAGUAUCAAUAGCAGUUGAGCCUACAAUUCCACAAAAAAAUGAACCAGUUACUCAAACCAAAACAGAUUUAGUUCAAAAUAAAAAUCUACAAGUUGAUUCUACAAGUAAAAGUAAAAUCGACAUCAAAGACACUCAAAAAACAAGUGUUGAGCCUCCAAUUCAAGUUAAGAAUAGUUCGAAUACUCAACUACAGACAGAAUUAGUAACUCAACCUAAAAGUAUACCAGUUGAGCCUAAUAUUGAUAAAAAUAGUGGAAUCAAAGAAACUGAAAUUGAUCGUAUACAAACUCGACUAGCAAAACUCGAAUCAGAAUUAUCUACAAAAACUAUAAAUCUACCGGCUGAGCAUAAACAGGACAAAACUAUAUUAGUUGAGCCUGUAAUUCAAAUCAAAAAUACCACAGCAACUUCAAUAGCAACAGAAUCGAAGACUCAAACACAGAAUAUACCAGUUGAGCCUAAAGAUAAGACAAAAGUUGAGCCAGUGAGUCUAAAACAAAUUAUAAAUACAGACACUCAACUCAAAACUGAGCUUCCAACUCAAUCUGAGUCUUCCAGUCCGAAUAAACCGAGCAUAGACUCAAAGACUCAACUUAGAGACUUAUUAGAGACUUCUAGUAAGAUUAAAACGUCGCCUUCGCAUUCUAUAUUACCCAAAACUUCUAUAGCAACUAUAGAAGAAUCACCGGAAUGUGAAGAAAUUGAACUCAGUGACUCAGACGUGGCGAAAGAUACUCAAACACAGAGUACAAGUGAUUCUAAGACUAAGACAAAUGUUGAGUGUACGGCAGUAGUUGAGCAUGCAGUUUUUGAAUCAAAAACGAGUAUUGAACCUCCAAAGACUGAGCUACAAAACAUUGAAACGGAUAAAAAAGUUGAGUCUAAAGACUCUGCCUCGAGUGCUCAACUCGAGAAUACUCAAACAAAGUCAGACGCGUUACGUGAUAAAACUGACCUAAAUGUGAUAGAUCUUAGUAUUAAAUCAAUAUUAGUGCAAAGUGAUUUAAAAUAUAGUGAUGUGGUUAAAAGUGACAAAAACACUGGCGUCAAAACCAAAGUGUGUAGUGACAAACAUACAGAAAAAGCUAUGGACAAUAUCGUAGCUAUAACAGAAGAUUUAGGUAAUAUAAUUAAAGAAAUGAAAGUGUUAGUUAAAAAUAAAAAUAGUUUAGAUGAAACAGUACCUGUUGAUAGUGUUCUACUUAAAAAGAAUAAAAGCGAAUCGAGUCUGGAUAGCCCAGAUUUAGAAGUUUCUAGACUUAUGGAGAAGAGGGUAGAAUGUGUGUUCGAUAGCAAUUCGUCUUUAGAAAUUUCUGGAAGUUCCAUGGAAAGUCUUAACGAGCAGAAUAAAACUGUCCAAGAGCUUGAUAGACGGAAAUCCGGUACGAUACUCUCCGCUGAAGGUAGCAUGGAAUCUACCAGUGACGUGACUCCUGUUAACAGUGGAAAUUUUCUCAAUCUUUCUCUCAGUUCUAACGAAAGUGUAUCUCCUAUUUUUGGCAAAACUAAGCUCAUACACGACUCUCUUUCGAGUCUAGAAGCCAGUGUCAGUUCUUUAGACUCGGCCAAACAUGAUAGAGUUAUGGUCACUUCAGCUGACUCGGGAAUAGAAUAUUCUUUACAACAGCCUUCAGAAAAUAGGGAAGAUAAUUCUUCUAAUGAAGGCACUUUGACGAACAACUCGAGUCUAAGAGAAACUGUGAGAAAGCCCGAAGCCUAUCAGAUAGGGGAUACUAUAGCGUCUUCACCAAAACGAGCGUCGAGCCUACUCGAUGUACCAGCCUUAAAAAAUAAAGGAUUGGAUCGUAUGAGAAAGAUUUCCUGGGUAGCCCCGUCUUCCAGCUUCCAUAUACCCCGGCCAGAAGAGAAAGAAGCCAAACCUUCUCAUUUAGAGAAGCUAUUAAGUCUAUUCCAACAUCCUAGUAGUAUUUUCUCCAGAAGUUUAACAAGUGAUGAUGAGAAAAAAUCCACAUCGAGCACUCCACCUAGGAAAGAUUCUUCUCUUACCAGCUCUUUCUGGUCCUGGGGAAGUACGAUAGAGAAAGAUAGAGAAGAAGACAGCUCAGAAGCCACUGACUCUACUCUAUCAGAAAGAGUCCAAGUCUCCUUCGUAGACGAGUCGUUUUCGAGAAAGUUAGACUCAAAAACACCUUCGACAGACACCGAUAAUACGUUGAGCGAAUUCCAAUCGUUUCCCACGCAAGAGAGUGAGAGCGUAGAAGAAAGAGUUACCAAAACCACCGAAGAUAUAAUAGUACAAAAUUUAGACUUAAGUGUAAUUAGUAAUACGAAGAGAUGUGUAGAUAGUGAGAGAAUGAAAGAUGAUCUCGUAAGAGAUGGACAAGAGAACGCAGAGAAAGAGAUAGCCAGGCCCCGGUCGUUCGCGGCCGUUCUCAAAAGCUCUGGUUCUGAAAACUCCUUAGAUAAGCAAAACAGUCCCGAUAGUGGUCAGCCAGUUGAUAAACUACCGAGUAAAGUUAUAAGAGGCAUCAAAGAAAAUAUAAGCCCUGAGAACACACUAACUUCAAGCAUGACUAAUACUAAAGCAUUAGCUGUUGAAUUAGAAAGACAAGUUAAAAACCCAAAUGUUUCUGAAGCAAUCAAAAAUGAACCUAAAAUUGAUGAAGUUAAGACACAAAGUGAUCUAGCACCUAUAGCGACAAUUGAAGAAACUGAGGAUGAUAAUCCUUUACAACUAGCUUACAUAGACGAUGUUAAAGUCGACUCGGAUAUUACAAUCGAUACUCGGGUCGCGGAAAUCGAUAAGGGAACGAAAAUCGAAGGUAUCGAUUUAGGCAAGGAUGCAUUGUCGUACUUGAUAUACGAGAAUCGAGAUUUCGAAGUAGGGGCCGGCAGUGUAGUCAAAACUACAGUACAGCAAGGUUCGUUAGCCGAAGAAUUAAAACAAGCAGAAAUCAAAGAAAUUAUUGAUUUAUCCCCUGAGCUAGUUGUCGAAGAAAAUGUACAAGAAAAAGUUUUUACAGCCAAAGAGAUCAUUGGGUUACGAACAUCGCCGAUCAUACCCGAACGUGCGAAACUUAAAAAGUCCAACUCUCUAGAAGAAUUAUCACAGCUUUCGGACGAAACGAGCCCUAAAACGAAGACUAUAGUUUUCAAAGUCCCUGAAAGUACGCCUAGGGACAUUCCUGAACGAAGAUCUAAGUUACGCACUCGAAGUGGUUCUAGCCCUAAAUCUCUGCCUGAGAGUUUGAACAAGCCGUGCCCUUUAACAAAAAUGGAAUCAAUUCUAUCAAAAAAGAAGAAAAAAGUAUCUUCCUUAGGCAAAAUUGCUCGAGAUUCUUUACUAGCUUUGAACAUGAGUGAAGAAGAGAUAGCAGAAUUCAGACGUUCUUACAAAUUGACGUCUGUCGAGAGUCUGAAGUCGUUAGAAUCAGUGUCAGAAAGUGGAAACUCCGUUGAUUCUCGAUGCAGGGCUUGUCUGAGGCAUUCUCAAGAGAGCUUAAUGUCUCUAGAUUCGAUUUCCGAAGAUUGUCGUUGUACGGAAGAAUGUGAGAAACCAGGGAAAUCUACGAGAUAAUAGGUGUGACUAUAUUGUUAAAAAUUGUAUUUCUAAUUAGUCCUGUCUUUUUAAUUAACCAAAAAAUAUUGGGCGCGUAUUUUUUUAUUUAAGAAAACAUAAAAAAAUCACUAAGAUUUAAGAAACUAGCCGUUUUACCGCUUUCCGUGGGAACUACUGCCCGUACCGGGAUGAAAUAUAGCCUAUGUUACUCGGGAAGAGUGUAGCUUUCUAAUGUUCAAAGAAUUGUUUAAAUCGAUUCAGUACUUUUUGAGGGUAUCCAUGAUAACUAAACGAAAAUAUAUUUUUUUCUUUAUAAUAUUUUAAGGCUUUGAGGGAGUGAUUUAUACAAAAUUUGCACUCAAAAGUUACGUAACUAAAUAUUUUGUAUCUUCGUUAUUAUUGGUAUGUGAGAGAAAAGAAAAAAUACGUAGCUAUCCAUUAUUUUUUGGUUAUCUAAAAGAUGGACACAAUACUUUUUCACUCGUCAUGCCUAUCGGAACGGGAAAUUGUUUUUUUUUUCUUGUCUAUGUAAAUGUAUAGAGAAUAUUAUUUUUAAGACUUUAUGUUGUCUGUUGUUGCUUUGUUUUUUUUUUCUAGUAGAGGUGUGAGUUGGAUAGUUUUUUAUCGAUAUCGAUACUUAAUUAUAUGAAAGAAAAUAGAUUCAUAUUUGGAGUUAUCGAAUUUAUUGAAAGGAAAUAUAGCUUCUUGGGGCUUGGAGAUCAGAUCCCCAUCUAUAAUACAUUGAAAUAUUUAAUCUUGAAUGUAGAUGAUUUAUCUCACGAAUGCGGGUAAUCCGUACUUAUGUGUAAUUAUACAUGCUCGUUCUUGUAAAUGUACAUACCCGUGCAUCGGAGAGCACGUCGCAGUCGGUCGUGUUUGUGAUCUCUCUCCGCUGGUGUCGGAUUGUCGUCCCAUCGCGCUAUGAGAGUGAAGGAAUAGUGAGUGCACCUGUGUCCAAGCAAAUGCUCGUGCUCUAUAAUAUGUCAUGCGCAGUUAGCUGAUCUCCUUAUAUGAGAACAGCCGCUGUGGCCGAAAUCGGCCGUGGACGCCAUUAUUUUUAUUAUUGUGUUAGUGGCCGAGUCGCCUAGCUAUACAAAAACUAUGUGCAUGUACGUACAUUUACACACACUAGUAAGGCUCACCUGCUUUCGUAAAAUAAUGAUGAUUUUUCAAAUAUUUUACACUUUCAAGAAAAAAUACAUAAGUAAAAUAUAUUCUCAUUAAUUUCUUCAACUUACACCUUUGCAGACCCUAUUAGUGAAAUACAGUUUAUGAGACCGAUACACUUACUGCGCAUUUCUAUAAGCUAUCUAUCCAUCGUUUCGCGAUUAGAUAUUGAAAGACAGUCUAUAUGGAGCUAAUGUCAAAAGUAUAUCUUGGACACAAAUGGCUGAUAAAAAGGUGAAGGAAAACAUCUUGAGGAAACCUGGACUAUAUAGUCUGAAAUCAGCAACCCGCAUUGAGCAAGCGUGGUGAUUAAUGCUCAAUCCUUCUUCGUGUGAGAGGAGGCCGCAGCCCAGCAGUGGGACGAUAAAAGGCUGUAACAGUAACAACAGUUCCGGCACAGGCGGUCA
rnacentral:misc_RNA from 1 species